UGGUGGUUGUGGUGUUGCUGUUGGUGGCGGUGAUUGCCAGCAACCUGACAAGUUGGCGGUGGCGGUGGUGUGGGCGGCUGGGAAGCUGCGCUCAAUAUUCACGCUGCUCGUUGAGUGUGAGGAGGACGACCAUGUGCUUGCGUCUGCAUGCGAGAUGUUGCAAGUCCUCAGCUCCAGCCAUGCUGGCGCAUUGGCAUUUAGCAACAAUGGAAGCCUCGCGGCCUUAGCCAGCCUGCUGGGACGCACUCACAACCCUCACACCCUGGAGAAGAUCACCGGCACGCUGUGGAACCUGUCGCGCCAUGAGUUUCUGAGGGCUGCGCUGGUGGAGCUUUGCCUCCCGGCGCUGGUGGAGCACGUGCUGGUGCCA